UAAGAAGUAUUUCGGUAUGUAAAGCUCUAUCAGCAGGGAAGAUAAUGACGGUACCUGACUAAGAAGCUCCGGCUAAAUACGUGCCAGCAGCCGCGGUAAUACGUAUGGAGCAAGCGUUAUCCGGAUUUACUGGGUGUAAAGGGUGCGUAGGUGGCAGUGCAAGUCAGAUGUGAAAGGCCGGGGCUCAACCCCGGAGCUGCAUUUGAAACUGCUCGGCUAGAGCACAGGAGAGGCAGGCGGAAUUCCUAGUGUAGCGGUGAAAUGCGUAGAUAUUAGGAGGAACACCAGUGGCGAAGGCGGCCUGCUGGACUGUUACUGACACUGAGGCACGAAAGCGUGGGGAGCAAACAGGAUUAGAUACCCUGGUAGUCCACGCCGUAA
rnacentral:rRNA from 1 species